AUGGGCUCCGCCGCGCCGGAAUCCACCGCCGCCUCCUCCUCCUCUUCGGCGGGGUCUGCAGCCAGCGCCGCGGCCCUGCCCGCGCCCGAGACCACCGAGGUCGGCGCCUCCUCCUCGACGGGUCUCGCCACCUCCGUGGCCCCGCUCGCCGCCUCCUGCUCCUCCGCGCUCGAGCCUACCGCCUGCGCGACGCUGUUCGCCGGUUCGACCUCUUUCUCCGCGGCCGCGCUCGACUCUACCAUCUGCACGGCGGUCUUCGCCGGUUCCGCCUCCUCCGCCGCGACCGCGCUCGACUCUACCGCCUGCACGACGCUCGUCGCCGGCUCCUCCGCCACGACCACGGCUUCAUCCUCGGCGACGGCGCCGGCCACGCCCAACGCCGCCUUGCUCCGGUUUAUUCCGCCUGGCUCAGCAUUUGGGCAUGUGCCGGACCCCUAUGCCAUGUGCCCAGCUGACACGGUGUUCCCAGCGCUCCUGAGCUGCCCUGUGGCGCCUUCGCUGCAGGCACAGCUUCCCGACAAAGAUGCACCGGUGGACACGAGCCCGGUGUACGUCAAGGGGGAUCCGUUUGCCAAGACGAUGUACCAGGAUAGUGAAGUCGGGCCCAGGAAGCGGAGCCGUGAUGAGGAGGAUAUUAUACCUGUGGCAGAGCUCAACGAGGUCAUCAAGAACGUGGCGGAAACUGUUUUUGACGAGCAGCAUAGGAGUUUUGAGUACAUGGACAGGGACUGGCUUACAAAGGGUGAGUAUGAAACGUUGGAGUUCAGAAAGAAGGCUCACCCACCUCAGUUCUACGAAGUCAAGAAAUCAAAGCAUGGCGGACUUAAGCUCGGACCCCGACCUGGUAAAGCAACCAAACCGAGGAUUGGGAUCAAUGGUUUGGGGCGGAUCGGGAGACUUGUGGCCAGGCUUAUUUUACGCAGCAAGAACAUGGAACUAGUCGUCGUUAACGACCCUUUUCUGAGCGCAGAUGACAUUGCUAGAUCUCUAGAGGACAUGCCUCCUGAUUUAUUCCCUCCCACCAAAGUUCUAUCUAUUUCUGAGCCUGAAAAAAUACCCUGGGGCAAUCUCGGCGCAGACUACGUUGUGGAGAGCACUGGAAUAUUCACUGACACGGAUACUGCCAGCUCUCACUUGAUGGGUGGUGCCAAGAAGGUUAUCAUCUGUGCUCUGAGCAAUGAAGCUCCCACAUUUGUUUACGGUGUCAACGGAAAUAUUUACACGCCAGAUAUUAGCAUCAUCUCAAUAGCUGAUACCGCUACAAUUUGUCUUGCUCUGCUCGCCAAGAUCCUCCACACCAAAUUUGGCAUCAGAGAGUGCCAGGUGACUAUAACCGGACCAUCCUCUAGUGCUGCAGAAAUUGGCAGGGCACUCAGUUCCGCUAUUCCUGAUUUAGUCGACAGGUUCCAUGUGACGGUGAGCCAUGAUCCUCAGGUGAAACUGUCUUGUGUGGAACUGGCCGUUAGGCUUGACGAGUGUGCUGACUAUGAGAUGAUCAAGGAUUCUGUCAGGAAGGAGUCUUCUUCAGAGGAACUUCACUAUGUACUAGCUAACCUGGAGGGAGGAGUGGGUCUCAAGGCCACAGAUUAUUUAGGAGAUUGCAGGUCGUGCUUGUUUGAUGCGGAUGCUGGAGCUAUGCUGGGGGACGGUUCCUUCAAGCUCUUCGCAUGGUUCAACCACCAGCGCAGCUACGGCCAGCGCUGCACUGACAUGAUUCUACACAUGGCGAAGAAGUCUAGAGUUGAUUGA
rnacentral:rRNA from 1 species